AGAGAACCUGGAGACAGGUGCUGCAUGGCUGUCGUCAGCUCGUGUCGUGAGAUGUGGGUUAAGUCCCGCAACGAGCGCAACCCUUGCCUUUAGUUGCCAGCAGUUCGGCUGGGCACUCUAAAGGGACUGCCGGUGUCAAACCGGAGGAAGUGGGGAUGACGUCAAGUCCUCAUGGCCUUUAUGGCCAGGGCUACACACGUACUACAAUGGCCGGUACAAAGGGCAGCGACAUUGCGAGAUGGAGCGAAUCCCGAAAAGCCGGUCUCAGUCCGGAUUGGAGUCCGCAACUCGACUCCAUGAAGUUGGAAUCGCUAGUAAUCGUGGAUCAGCAUGCCACGGUGAAUACGUUCCCGGGCCUU
rnacentral:rRNA from 1 species